GAGUUUGAUCCUGGCUCAGGAUGAACGCUGGCGGCGUGCUUAACACAUGCAAGUCGAACGAAACACCUUAUUUGAUUUUCUUCGGAACUGAAGAUUUGGUGAUUGAGUGGCGGACGGGUGAGUAACGCGUGGGUAACCUACCCUGUACAGGGGGAUAACAGUCAGAAAUGACUGCUAAUACCGCAUAAGACCACAGCACCGCAUGGUGCAGGGGUAAAAACUCCGGUGGUACAGGAUGGACCCGCGUCUGAUUAGCUGGUUGGUGAGGUAACGGCUCACCAAGGCGACGAUCAGUAGCCGGCUUGAGAGAGUGAACGGCCACAUUGGGACUGAGACACGGCCCAGACUCCUACGGGAGGCAGCAGUGGGGGAUAUUGCACAAUGGGGGAAACCCUGAUGCAGCGACGCCGCGUGGAGGAAGAAGGUUUUCGGAUUGUAAACUCCUGUCGUUAGGGACGAUAAUGACGGUACCUAACAAGAAAGCACCGGCUAACUACGUGCCAGCCGCCGCGGUAAUUC
rnacentral:rRNA from 1 species